rnacentral:rRNA from 1 species
AAAUUGAAGAGUUUGAUCAUGGCUCAGAUUGAACGCUGGCGGCAGGCCUAACACAUGCAAGUCGAGCGGAAACGAGUUAUCAAAGCCUUCGGGUGGCGAUAACGGCGUCGAGCGGCGGACGGGUGAGUAAUGCCUAGGAAAUUGCCCUGAUGUGGGGGAUAACCAUUGGAAACGAUGGCUAAUACCGCAUGAUGCCUACGGGCCAAAGAGGGGGACCUUCGGGCCUCUCGCGUCAGGAUAUGCCUAGGUGGGAUUAGCUAGUUGGUGAGGUAAGGGCUCACCAAGGCGACGAUCCCUAGCUGGUCUGAGAGGAUGAUCAGCCACACUGGAACUGAGACACGGUC